rnacentral:rRNA from 1 species
CGAGUUUGAUCAUUGCUCGGAACGAACGCUGGCGGCAUGCCUAAUACAUGCAAGUCGAACGAGCCCUUCGGGGUUAGUGGCGCACGGGUGCGUAACGCGUGGGAAUCUGCCCUUGGGUUCGGAAUAACGUCUGGAAACGGACGCUAAUACCGGAUGAUGACGAAAGUCCAAAGAUUUAUCGCCCAGGGAUGAGCCCGCGUAGGAUUAGCUAGUUGGUGAGGUAAAGGCUCACCAAGGCGACGAUCCUUAGCUGGUCUGAGAGGAUGAUCAGCCACACUGGGACUGAGACACGGCCCAGACUCCUACGGGAGGCAGCAGUAGGGAAUAUUGGACAAUGGGGGCAACCCUGAUCCAGCAAUGCCGCGUGAGUGAUGAAGGCCUUAGGGUUGUAAAGCUCUUUUACCCGGGAUGAUAAUGACAGUACCGGGAGAAUACCCCCGGCUAACUCCGUGCCAGCAGCCGCGGUAAUACGGAGGGGGCUAGCGUUGUUCGGAAUUACUGGGCGUAAAGCGCACGUAGGCGGGCAUUUAAGUCAGAG